UUCUAAGGGCGUUGAAGCAUGAUCGCAAGGACAUGUGGAGCGCUUAGAAGUGAGAAUGCCGGUGUGAGUAGCGAAAGACGGGUGAGAAUCCCGUCCACCGAUUGACUAAGGUUUCCAGAGGAAGGCUCGUCCGCUCUGGGUUAGUCGGGUCCUAAGCUGAGGCCGACAGGCGUAGGCGAUGGAUAACAGGUUGAUAUUCCUGUACCACCAUUAUUCGUUUUAAGCGAUGGGGGGACGCAGUAGGAUAGGCGAAGCGUGCUGUUGGAGUGCACGUCCAAGCAGUGAGAUUGAGUGUUAGGCAAAUCCGGCACUCUUAAGAUUGAGCUGUGAUGGGGAGAGGAACUUGUUCCUCGAGUCGUUGAUUUCACACUGCCGAGAAAAGCCUCUAGCUAGAAUAACGGUGCCCGUACCGCAAACCGACACAGGUAGUCAAGAUGAGAAUUCUAAGGUGAGCGAGCGAACUCUCGUUAAGGAACUCGGCAAAAUGACCCCGUAACUUCGGGAGAAGGGGUGCUCUUUGAGGUUCACGCUUCGAAGAGCCGCAGUGAAUAGGCCCAAGCGACUGUUUAUCAAAAACACAGGUCUCUGCUAAACCGUAAGGUGACGUAUAGGGGCUGACGCCUGCCCGGUGCUGGAAGGUUAAGAGGAGUGGUUAGCGCAAGCGAAGCUACGAAUCGAAGCCCCAGUAAACGGCGGCCGUAACUAUAACGGUCCUAAGGUAGCGAAAUUCCUUGUCGGGUAAGUUCCGACCCGCACGAAAGGCGUAACGAUUUGGGCACUGUCUCAACGAGAGACUCGGUGAAAUCAUAGUACCGGUGAAGAUGCCGGUUACCCGCGACAGGACGGAAAGACCCCGUGGAGCUUUACUGUAGCCUGAUAUUGAAAUUCGGUACAGUUUGUACAGGAUAGGUAGGAGCCUUAGAAGCGUGAGCGCUAGCUUACGUGGAGGCAUUGGUGGGAUACUACCCUAAUUGUAUUGGAUUUCUAACCCGCAGCACUUAUCGUGCUGGGAGACAGUGUCAGGCGGGCAGUUUGACUGGGGCGGUCGCCUCCUAAAGAGUAAC
rnacentral:rRNA from 1 species